GAUGAACGCUGGCGGCGUGCCUAACACAUGCAAGUCGAGCGUGAUUUAUGAGGACGAAACUUCGGUCUAGGAAUCAUAAUGAAAGCGGCGGACGGGUGAGUAACGCGUAGGCAACCUGCCCUUGACACAGGGAUAGCCUCGGGAAACCGGGAUUAAAACCUGAUGACGCCAAACAGUCACAUGGCUGUUUGGCCAAAGAUUUAUCGGUCAAGGAUGGGCCUGCGUCUGAUUAGUUAGUUGGUGGGGUAACGGCCUACCAAGACGACGAUCAGGGGCCGACCUGAGAGGGUGAUCGGCCACAUUGGAACUGAGACACGGACCAAACUCCUACGGGAGGCAGCAGUGGGGAAUAUUGCACAAUGGGCGAAAGCCUGAUGCAGCAACGCCGCGUGAGCGAUGAAGGCCUUUGGGUCGUAAAGCUCUGUCCUUGGGGAAGAAACAAAUGACGGUACCCAAGGAGGAAGCCCCGGCUAACCACGUGCCAGCAGCCGCAGUAACAC
rnacentral:rRNA from 1 species